rnacentral:rRNA from 1 species
UGGGGAAUAUUGCACAAUGGGCGCAAGCCUGAUGCAGCAACGCCGCGUGAACGAUGAAGGUCUUCGGAUCGUAAAGUUCUGUUGCAGGGGAAGAUAAUGACGGUACCCUGUGAGGAAGCCCCGGCUAACUACGUGCCAGCAGCCGCGGUAAUACGUAGGGGGCUAGCGUUAUCCGGAUUUACUGGGCGUAAAGGUUGCGGAGGUGGUCUUUCAAGUCGGUGGUUAAAGGCUACGGCUCAACCGUAGUUAGCCUCCGAAACUGGAAGAAUUGGGUGCAGGAGAGGAAAGUGGAAUUCCCAGUGUAGCGGUGAAAUGCGUAGAUAUUGGGAGGAACACCAGUAGCGAAGGAGGCUUUCUGGACUGCAACUGACACUGAGACACGAAAGCGUGGGUAGCAAACAGG